rnacentral:rRNA from 1 species
UAAGCAUAUCAAUAAGCGGAGGAAAAGAAACCAACAGGGAUUGCCCUAGUAACGGCGAGUGAAGCGGCAACAGCUCAAAUUUGAAAUCUGGUCCCUCGGGGCCCGAGUUGUAAUUUGCAGAGGAUGCUUUUGGCGCGGUGCCUUCCGAGUGCCCUGGAACGGGACGCCACAGAGGGUGAGAGCCCCGUAUGGUCGGACACCAAGCCUAUGUAAAGCUCCUUCGACGAGUCGAGUAGUUUGGGAAUGCUGCUCAAAAUGGGAGGUAAACCCCUUCUAAAGCUAAAUACUGGCCAGAGACCGAUAGCGCACAAGUAGAGUGAUCGAAAGAUGAAAAGCACUUUGAAAAGAGAGUUAAAAAGCACGUGAAAUUGUUGAAAGGGAAGCGUUUGCGACCAGACUUGCGCCCGUCGGAUCAGCCGUCCCUCGUGGGCGGUGCACUCCGGCGGGCUCAGGCCAGCAUCAGUUCGCUGCAGGGGGAGAAAGGCGGCGGGAAUGUGGCUCUUCGGAGUGUUAUAGCCCGCCGCGUAAUACCCCUCGGCGGACUGAGGACCGCGCGUAAGCAAGGAUGCUGGCGUAAUGGUCGUCAGCGACCCGUCUUGAAACACGGACCAAGGAGUCGUCCUAAUAUGCGAGUGUUUGGGUGUCAAACCCCAGCGCGUAAUGAAAGUGAACGCAGGUGAGAGCUUCGGCGCAUCAUCGACCGAUCCUGAUGUUCUCGGAUGGAUUUGAGUACGAGCAUAUUGGGCCGGACCCGAAAGAAGGUGAACUAUGCCUGUAUAGGGUGAAGCCAGAGGAAACUCUGGUGGAGGCUCGCAGCGGUUCUGACGUGCAAAUCGAUCGUCAAAUAUGGGCAU